GGCUGUAGCUCGGUGGUAGAGCAUCUGCUUUGCAUGCAGAAGGUCCCAAGUUCCAUCCCAUGCAUCUCCUUGAGAGCCG